ACGCACAUAAUACAUAUUAUAUUUGUGUUAUAAAUUUCACGGGCCACGACAAGUGUUUGCGCAGCCAGGAAUUUUUUGAGAGUACAAUUCUAAUACUUAUCUCACCUACGCCUGAUAAGUAUACAGAUGUGACAAUGAGACUGACCGCGUUGCAUAAUGGUGCAGGGGACAGCUCUUGUGCAGUACGAGUAUCUAUUAGUGCGCUUUUUGCGACAUCGGAAUUUAGAGCAGAAGCGUACAAGAGAUGGAAUUAUAUCACAUACCUAUUUUUAGUUACAGUUAGAUAUCAAGGAUUUCCAUUAUAUAUUAUAGAAAUAAAAAAAUAUAUAUGUAAAUAAAAAACUUAAAUGGUAGAGCCGUUUAAACUAGUUAGUCAAUGGAAACUAUAAAAAUCUAAUAGCCAUAAAAUUAUAACGUUUUGUGAUAGUUUUUCUAUUAAUAUUUUUUCUUUCCAUGAUUUAUUAUAAAAAAUAUUGCAUACCUAUUACGCGUGCUCAAUAUUCUGUCUCUAUGGCACUUAUGUUGAUGAAAAAGGCCCCUUGGGCGCCGGUGCCGCCUAGACAUGGCACCAGGGUAAGGGCAGGCCCACAUCAGGAAUGCAAGUUCGCCAACUCUCACACGCCCAGGAUGAGUUGAUCUUUUUUAAAGGGCGCGUUUCUUGGAAGUAUCUGCCGAGCGGUCGGAGGCUGGCGCUCGCCGACCAUUGUGGCGCGCGGCUAGUUUUGAUCUUAUUGUUAAUGGGACGCCAAGUUUUUUUAACGCUGCUUGGAAAAAAGGUAUCAUCGGACCCCAGCGGAAACGUUACGGACCCUUGUGAAGUAAAAUGGAUAUACGUUCUACGAAGGAGGUGUUAUUUUAAUCGUAGGACGGCUUUGUUGUUCAGGAAUGUAGAUGGCCUGUCAUAAUUUUAAUGGGCAGUUUCUCAGACGCUCUCUGAUCCUGAUGGCACACAUGACCUGAAUAUUCAACAGGCCGUAGGUUCGCGGCUGUCUCCAUAACAUCCUACGAGUUCAUGAAGACGUGUAUUUAUUGAAUAUAUUUAGAAAAAAAAAUCGAUCAUAAUAUCGAAAUUGUAAAAUUCUUCCUAUAAUAUGCUAUAUAGACAGUUAUUGUAAAUUUAUUGUUAUAUAGCUGUACUAUACGCGUUAUUAUCUAAAGUAACUGUUUUUACUUUAACUUUUAAAAUACAACAAUAAGGAUUCUCUCACAAAUAAAAUCCAGAAUCCAUGCAUAGAAGCGUAAAAAAAUAUACAUAUGUAGAUUACGUAUACUACCUACCCGUACUAUUGAUUGAUCUUUCUAUUAUUCUGAAUAGAUCUUCACAUUGAGACGAAAAUAAAAGCAUAAUUCAGUUCAAAGAACCACACACGAUGUUCUUUUAAUGAUGAAAUGAGAUAACCGACAGAGUACAAGUACUUAUUUACAAUAAAUAUAUUGGCCAAUACAUACGAGACCGAAACCAAAUAAUAUAAUUAUUACUCGUUUUAUUCACGAACCAAAAAGAAAAUGAUAAACAAUUUUGAAAAAUCUAGCAUUGGCAAGGUAUUUAUUACAUACACACGAUAAUGUUAUAAAGCUUAUAUCACUUUAGCAAUCAUAAAGAGGCCGCAAAUUGGUGCCUUUUUUACUCGAGUCCCUCCGGGCUUCCCAUCUCGCUCUCUGGCAAAGCAAGUAUAAUGAGAGGUUGUUAAAAUUAUGAAUGGAACAUCUUCCAAAGCCAUUCGUUGCCUGUGUGCGUAAGCCAUUCUUGUUUAACGAACUAAUGUUUGAUGUCAUUUAAAGUAGGAACAAACAUAUGUUUUAAGGCUAACACAUUCUGUUCUUUAAGGAAUGUACUUACAUAAAUAAGUAUGUAUUUCCAAAUAAAAAUCUUAUAACCGUUAUAAAAUCACACGGUAUAGGUAUUUGUAGUUUGAAGGAAUGACGAAAAAAUAUGUACGGACCAUAUGAAAAAUUUACUAAAGUGUGAAUAAGUAUUAGUUGAAGAAGAGGCAAUUAUAUUGCGCCGAAUCUAAAUGAUAGAAUAAAUACAAAUAUGAUGUGCUAACUUUUCAAACACCUAUAAUAGUGUGUAAUAUAAUUUAUUUCUCUACGUUACUAUUUUAUAGGUACUGCAUUAAUAUAUACUCCUAUGUUGUACCAAUCUAGGAUAGUCGCCUGUGGGCACUAGAUUAAUAUUUACUACGUACGCCUGAGGACUCUACAAGGUUUUUGUAAUAGUAUAAUAUAAUAUAUCGCUUGUACUUUGUAUUAGAGAUGUCAGUGAAAAACGUAUUAAGAAUAAAAAUGUAAAAGUAAUAGGUAAUCUAGUAUAAUAAUCUGUG